GCAGCACAAACUCCUGUAAACAUCCCUUUCCCUUUUUAUUAUAAUGGGGCUGCAUUACUCAGUGUAAUCUCAGCUGCGGAUUUCAAAAUAAUUAAAAUCAAAACAGUUGGCUGAUGAAAGCCUAUCGCUCGUUAACACAGAGAAAGAAAAGGGCAGGGGAACGACAUCAAAGGAGAAGCUUAAACUGACCCACAGCAAAGCGGUUCAGCUGGCUGCUGGCUUUGAAGCUCCCCGAACGGAGCUGCAGGAGACCACACAUUGGAAGAGAGCAUCUGGAACUGAUUUUAUAAAGCUCCAGGUCCCUAUGCUGGGCAAUGAUGUAAAUAAUAUGAUGUGAUACCAUGCAGCUACUAGUCCCUCUCUGAAACACCUUCAAUUACUGCGCACAGGGGAUGUCUCCCAUAUGGUACCCACCUGCUUUCAGAUUUAUGUGUGCAGAGAUGAAUGGAACAGUGAACUGUGGGUAGCAAUGGGAACUGGAUCUAUCUAACCACCCUUCAAAGUUCUCACCAGCUCUCUAUAUAUUGCAGACUGAUCUGGAAAUGCAAAGAACUGAACAUAAGAUGGAGAAACUGAGAGAAACCGAAAUUGACAGAUUCGCCAAAGCCUAACCUCCAGGGCACUCGGUGCUGGGCUUAACACCUUUGCUCCUGCAACGUGCCCAGUGAUGAAACCCUCGUCCAUGGACAAUCUCUGGAGCCGCCAACACCCACGGCUGAUUGUGCAGAAGGCGACUUUCCCAGCUCAUAAAGCAUUAGCUACUUGCAUGGAGCAAUGAAUAAACCAGAAAUAAAAUUUAAAAAGUCAGAGUCGGGCAGGGCUGGGUCCUUAGCAUGCUUAUAGCAAACACAAAAAGAAUGUGCCUUGGAAUAGAUUCUUUUACCCUGAGGACACACACGUUCUCUGCAUGUCCAUAAACCUAUGAAACUAGGCUGCCUCUAGCACAUAGCUAACCAGCAGAGCACCAGUGGACCUUCCCAGAAAAGAGAACAGGGAGGUCACUGCUAGGAAGGAGGCGAAAGCCUACAUACAUUGCACAGCAAAGGUGUGGCCUUUUGGUUAAUGCCAGGCUCAGUUAAGAGCUGGGAAAGUUCUGCUGCACUGAAACCAAUAGCUGCACAACGGCCCUAGCCUUGGGUGAGGGAGGGCAGGAGGAAUGUUCCUCUCCUCCUUUUCAUGUGGCUGCAUUCACCUGGGGAGCCAGGCACCCGAAGGACUAGCCCUGUGGCAAGGCAGAGGAUUAGCAUCCCUGCACCUGCACAGCUUCACGUGAGGCAUCUAUUUUGCUAUGCAAACCAGUUUUGCUGCAGACUUGACCCAGGAGCUGAAGUUGCCCUCAAUUCGUUGCUGUUGACAGAAUGGGGAAAGAGUUCCAGGGCCCAUGUCUCCAUGCAAAUGCUUCACCAUUCAUAAUAAGUGGAAAUGUAGAGUGCACUUCUGGAAUGCUAGUUUUAAAAUCAUGAGGUUGAAUGGGACCUUGGUGGUCCUCUUGCUCAGUACUUGUUUAGUACAGCACCAGCAGGGUUCAACUACAGCAUCUCUGAGAGAUGGCUGCCCAGUGUCUGUGGCAAUACCUCUAGCAAAAGAGAAGCCACCAUCUCUCAAGGCACUUUGCUCCAUGUUCUCACAGCUCUUGCGAUGAGGAAAGUCCCAAAUGUUUGCCUAUGGAAGAAAGUCUUCUUGUGUUUGCAUAAGAGCAAAGAACUUUGAUGAUUCUCGGAAACAGAGACCUCUUGAGAUACAGAUACUGCACUCUUAAAAUAAUAAUUAAGAACUCUGCCGCCUUGGAAUUCUCUCAAAGGCUGCUCUCUAAAAUACAAGGGGCAAAAGAUAAAUAUUUCCCUCCUCUCUUUAGGAAGUGGGCUGAGCAUUAACUAUGGUCCUUUGGCCAACAACUUACGGCACGUCAAGGGGUUUUCUUUUCUUCUUUUUUCGCUCUGUGAUGGCAGACAUUUGCUGAACCUUGCUUUCUGGAGAUGUCCAAAUGGUCCUGGUGCCUAAGCAGGUUGCUGGAUUUGGGCCCCAGGAUGAGAAUUUGCAAGACACACAGCUAAAGACCCACAAUUCCUCACUGCAAACUCUGGCUGGGACCUAUAAAAGAGAGACACUCCUCAAGGGUGCAUGUAUUGGGAUGGAAGUGGAGGCAUAAAGGAAUGCAUAGUUUUCUUGCAAGCUUUGCUCCAUAUUGCCAAGCCAAGCCCUACCAUUAGGCAGAAUGAGACAGCGGAUUCUUAGUGUCAUGAAAGAGCAGCAAAAUGUUGACCUUAAUACAUUAUUGUUUGGGCUCUUGUGACAUGUAUUGGGUACGAAAGCAGCCUUUACCACCCUGGUGCCCUCUGGAUGUUUCGGACUACAAUUCCCAUCAGUUAGAGGGCUGAUGAGAGAGUUUGGGAGCACAUUUGGGAGCACCAAAGUGAUGAAGGCUAUGUUAAAGUAACUUGACUGGCCUUGGGUACUAUGGACCUUGACUUGGGGUUGGGAAGCUUUCGUGCUGAGCCUCAGACAGCAAAAUGUCUUGGGUCAGCCUUGUAUAUCCUUUAGUGGUAAAAAUCAUACAUAGGAUUUCCUUUACUUUCUCAUUAAUCAUAUUUAUUAUAUGUUGAGACAUGAUACGUCGGGAAAAUAUGGAGGUAAAAUGGCUCGGGGUUACCAAAUGAGCACUGUAUUUCCAUCAGACAGCAGUUUGACCAUCUGUUAGCAAAACUAUGCUGUAAAGUGACCAGAAAACAGGUGAUAGGGAACUAUACAUUUGUAAGUAUAUUUGUGACCUGAAAACCGAUAGACACCCAAUGCUUGUGCAACAUCAUCUAAGCCUGGCUGACAUUUUGCCUCUUUGACCUGUUCAGACUCUAUAUCUGCUUCAUUUUCAUACAGUAGAGGAGUUCCCAGAUUUCCCAAUGAUGAGAUGAGAAGCUGGUGAUUAGAAAAAAACCACAAUGUUGCUUGCACAGAAAUUGGGCAACCAAGCACUGAUCGCAUCUGCAGAGUUCUGCAUGGGUGUCACAGAAAGUCUUGGCGAAAUGGGCAACCCCAAACAUGUGCUAGAAAUUGCUGUUACUUCCUAAAGCAGCCUGGUUAUUUGCGGCAUUUGUCGCAGUAUUUUGCGGUAUUUGUGGCAGCCCUGAGUGCCUUAUGUCUGCAUGUUCUUUAAACAGCGCAGGAGCUCGUCAUUUUGCCUUGGAGUUCAGUGCAAUAUUCUAAAGGGGGGAAAUGUCACGAGGAGAAGACUCAGAGCUGACUUGCAAGACUUAUCUUGAACAGCAAUGUGCAUGGGAAGGAAUGUCCGUAGAGAAGUUGAACAAUUUCAUGGAGGAUAAGGCUAUCAAUGAAUACCAACUAUGAUGGCUAUAUUCUGCCUCCACAGUCAGAUGCUGCGAUGCUUCUGAGUACCAGUUGCUGGAAACCAGAGGAAGGGCUAGUUCUCUUUUUCUCAGGUGGGUGUCCUGCAGACAUGUGGUUUCCAACUGUGGGAAAAGGAUGCUGGCCUAAAUGGGCCAUUGGCCUGAUGCAACAGGCUCUUCUUAGAUAGGAGGAGUGGGAGUUAGAGGCUGGCUGGCUGUUUCACCGCUGUUUUGCUGAAAGUAGAAACUUAAGCAGACUCUGUGUCCAGAGGAGUUUGCGAGGGAAGGCAAGCAAAAUGGUUCUGGUAACUUAUGCACUGCUACAAAUGAGUUUUGGAAGCAAAAAGCAAGAGACUCUCUCUUGGGCUUAAGGGUUGAGAAAUGCAUUGUAUUGGCCUUGAUAUGCAUAAAUGCUACAGCUUGUUAAUAGUUGCCAUCGUACAAGUAAAAAGUCAUCUUCAAAGUCUUGUGCGUGGAGUCUACUUCAUCACUAGUGCUUCAAGGGUGAAGCCACUGCAUGACUCAGGAAAAAAGCCAACAUAAAAUGUGCUGAAAGCCCUUUGCCUUGGUUCAAUCUCCAAGUGAUAGGAAGACUCUUUGCUCUUUUUUGCUGCAACAGACUAGCAUGGCUCCCCCUCUGGAAAUGAGGCCUCUGGUGUUUCAGGUCCUGUUCAAAAUGAGCAAAAGCUAUUUUCCCAAACUUCUGCAGCCCAUGUGUAGAUUAACUUCAGCCUCUGGUCCCCUUAGGAUCUUGUGCUGAUUGUCAAAUUUUUAUUGCUGGUUUUGAUUGUAGUUGACGGAUUUUGCGAAUGCUGUUGCUAUGCUUAUUUUAUGUAAGCUGCUUUGGUAUACAUAAAUAAAUAGUUCCAUGUAAUUUGUUCCAUUUAGGUUUAUUAAAUUUCUACCCUAUU